UACGUAGGUGUCAAGCGUUGUCCGGAAUUAUUGGGCGUAAAGCGCGCGCAGGCGGUUCUUUAAGUCUGAUGUGAAAGCCCACGGCUCAACCGUGGAGGGUCAUUGGAAACUGGAGAACUUGAGUACAGAAGAGGAAAGCGGAAUUCCACGUGUAGCGGUGAAAUGCGUAGAGAUGUGGAGGAACACCAGUGGCGAAGGCGGCUUUCUGGUCUGUAACUGACGCUGAGGCGCGAAAGCGUGGGGAGCAAACAGG
rnacentral:rRNA from 1 species